rnacentral:lncRNA from 1 species
UCGGUGGGCCUGCUGUCUCGCCUUCCGACAAGAGGGAUUCAUCACCGUACGUCCAUCUUUGCAGAUGACAUGGUCACCUUCCUUAGGCCCACUUGGAAGGAGGUGGUGGGCUGUUUGGUGAUCAUCACCGACUUCGGGGUUGCGUCAGGGCUUUGCACCAACUUUACCAAGAGCUCUGCGCACCUCAUCCGGUGCUCCGAGGAUCAACACCUCCUGGUGGAGGGCCUCUUGCAGUGCGAGAUUAAGGGGUUCUAUUGCACCUACCUGGGACUUCCCUUGAGCUUGCGCAAGCAGACAACGAAUCAGCUCAAACCGCUAGUGGACACAGUGGAGGGCCGCUUGGCCCCGUGGAAGGCCCCCCUUCUCUCCAAGGGUGGCCGUCUCGUCCUUAUCAACUCUACCUUGACGGCCUUGCCGGUCUACUCGAUGAUGUCACUCGACCUACCCGAUAUGAUCAUCAAAGGCAUGGCCAAGAUCUGCCGUGGCUUUCUCUGGAGAGGGCAGAAAGAGGCUCGUGGUGGGCAUUGUCUGGUGGGUGGGCUUGGCAUCCCCAACCUCCACCUCCUUAACUUGGCCUUGCGCGUUUGGUGGAGGUGGCUUGAGCGGGUGGACAACUCCAAACCCUGAAAGGGGCUUGCCUUAGACACCCCUAAGGAGGUUGAUGCCAUUUUUGAGGCCACCACUUCCUCCCAUGUGGGUGACGAAUGGCUAACUCUUUUCUGGACCGACCGGUGGCUGCGGGGGGUUCGCUUCCGUGAUGAGUUUCCCGCGCUCACGACCCGUGUCAGGCCUAGGAUCAUUCGGGCACACACGGUGAGCGACGCGCUCCUCGGCACAUGGAUUGGGGAUGUGGGGCCGGACCUUGGGGCGGAUACUCUUUGGUGAGUUCCUCACCCUAUGGGAUUGGCUCCAUGGUCUUCAGCUGGUGGAAGGCAUUUCGUAUACCCUAACUUGGAACUGGACUGCCGAUGGGGUUUACUCAGCUAAAUCGGCCAAUGCCAACCUCUUCGCUGGUCGCGUGGCUGACCCUCUUGUCACUGUGGUGUGGAACUCAUGCGCCCCUGCGAAGUGCCCCUUCUUUGCUUGGCUGGCGGUGAGGAACUGAUGUUGGACUGGUGACCGUCUGGCCAAGCUUGGUCUCCCACACCCUGACAAGUGCCCUCUCUGCGACCAGGAGGAUGAGACCAUCUCCCAUCUUCUGCUGGGCUCUGUCGUCACGAGACAGGUGUGGGGCAGUCUGUUGGCUGCGUGGGGUCACGGCGAGUGGGCUCCAGGCGCGGACGCCAUUCUUCGGGACUGGUGGUCGUCUCUUCCGAUUCCGCACCCAGUUCGGAAAGACUUCCGGACGGUGAUCGGCUUGGUAUUCUGGAUCGUCUAGUGCCACCGGAAUGACGUGGUCUUCAACGGAGCGGCACCAUCCCUUCAGCGUAUACUUAUAGUUGUUGGGGAGGAGUUUUCUAGGUGGGAGCGUGCGGGGUUCUUAGGGGUAGAGUUGCUCCUCCGGCCUUCGCGGCGAGUAGGUUGUUGUCCGGCACGUAGUCUUUUUUUCUGUUCCCUGCCACGAGUUGGCGUUGUAUUGUCGUUCCGCUGUUGUACUCGACUUCUGACUCUUCUUCUUUAAUUGAUGAUGCACCUGUUUGGUUGCAUUCUUGAAAAAAAAAUAUUUUGGACAUUAAUGUGCGAUCAUUAGCUAGGCUAGCUAUUCAAUUGUGACAAUAUGGAGCUCUGCUUCCGCUGAAUCUAGGAUGUGAACAUUGUUAGAGCACAGAUAAAUGAUUGAAUUAAAACAGAGUGUUAUAUGUUCUUCCUAACCGGUCAUUAUCAUUUGGUAGCUUUCUAAACUCUCUUCUCUCUUUUUUUUUCUUUUUUAGGAGGGAAGGGUGAACUCUCCUCUAUGCUGAUAAUUAUUUCUUUGAUGGACUUCAUUUGUAAUAAUCGUGGUGUCUUCACAGUAAUAUAUUAUUAUUGCGUCAUUGUGGUUGCUUAAUACAAUAUGUUGUAGGCAUACUCGGAUUCCAUGUCUUGCGUGCGCCUGCUACGUUAGUUUAGCUAAAUUGAAUUUCCACAGUACCGAACUUCAUAUUCUGCCUAUGGAUGUAAUGAACAAUGUGCAUAAAAUAAAUUUGGUACUAGGAGCUACAAGUUAUGGUUUACACUAAAAAUAUUUCAAAGUCCUUGCCCAAAUAGGAAAGGAGGAUUUGUUGGUGGGAUCCUUUCUAGUAACUAGGUGAUUCCCCGCGUGUUGACGCGGAAAAUUUUAUAUGCACCUCUGGAUAUGAUUUUAGAAACAAAUGAUAAUAAUAUGAUUAAAUGUAAAAUAAAUAUAAAUAUUGUAGGACAAAACGAUUUUAUUCAUUCAUAACACCUAUGCAACAAAACAAUAGGUGGAAUUUUAAUGUGCAUGAACAUUAACAAUUUCGAAGAAACCAAAAAGUGAAGUUUCGUCAACCUGAAUAUUUGCAGAUCUUAGAAAAAUUGACAUACAUAUCAAGAAAAUAUGUGUGUUUGGUGAAAUAUUUAUAUGCAACGUGAAAAUGAAAAAUCCUAGGUAUCAAAAUAUUAAAUUCGAAUGGACCACCAGAAUGGAUUCCUAGUGUACCACAACACAUGAUGUGGAUGGUGAUGUGUAGACUUUGAAUGCCUAUGAUAUGCAUGAUGUAGAUGAUGAUUUGAACACCUUGCAUGUGAAACUUGCAAACAUUAAUUGCACUUAGUAAGGAUCAACUUUAUAGGUUAUAUAGAUAUAGAAAGGAGGGAGUACUCGAAAAUGUUUAUUGGAGCUCAGGCUCCUUGGAACCCGAAAUUUUCAAAAAUAAUAAUUGAAAAUCAUACUUUUGAGACAUAGAUGAGAAAGCAAAAAUCACAAAUCGAUUUGUUAUUUUUGCAGAGUAUAAAUUAACGUAUCUUUUCACAAAAAUUUACAUAUACUUAGUUUUCAUCUAUGUUUAUACACUGAAAAAUAUGGAUUUUUUAAAAACUUAAAUACUCCCUCCGUUCGACAAAAAAUGUUUCAAGUUCGUCAAAAUUUGGAUGUAUGUAGGUAUGAUUUAGUGUAUAGAUGCAUUCAAAUUUAAUCAAAGUUGAGAUAUUCUUUGUUGGACAGAGAGACUAAUGACUUUCGUUUUUAGAAAAAUAAAAGGACUCUCUGGAGCCGGGAGCCAAAACACCCUGUUCGGCAAUACUGGGCUAUUAUCCAGCGAUAACCGCGCUAUGUUACGGCUAACGGCUUCCUGUACCAAUAAACAUUGGUACUCUGUCAGGCUAUUUGCAGUACAGCAGCUGGGCUCGUUUUCAAUGGUUGGUGGAAGAUUGUAAAACAAAGUGAAAACGGAAGCAGUGACAGCUCCACAGAAAAGCAACCCAACAAAGCAAGCAAGCCUCUGCGUCCCCCUCUUUCUCUCCUGCGCGUGGUUUUGGCAGUGCCUACGCUGUCCCUGCAGCAGCUACAGCUACUGUCUGGAGCUCAAACAGCAGCUGCUGCACCACUGGUCGCUACUGCCUACUCCUGCUACUGCUACCUUCUCAUUCAAGAACCUUUGUAGCUUUCCCCAAACUUCGAUACAGCUUCUUGAUCUGCUGGUCUGAAAAUCCGAAGAUCGCGGCCUCUUCACAGCAAGACCUUGCGUCCCUCUAGCACCAAAAAGGAAAAUUUAAAAACAAUGUAUUCACCUCUGGGCUUGGAGGAAUAAUGGUUUCCAGAUCAUUCUUGAACCAGAUGCUACUUUGAUAAAAGGUCAGUUCCCUUUCUUCCUCCUGUAUUGAGCGGUUAUUGUUUUCUAUGUUUUGGGAGCUAUAUUCAUGUAUUCCAAUCUGAGAUUCAUGGCGAUAUUUUGCUUCAAUUUCUUAACUGCUAUGGAUCUCACUAGAAAGCUGAGAUUGUGCUUAAAUCAUAUCCAUUCCCCAAUAAAAUGUUUGGUCUUGUUUUGUUCCUACUGGGUGUUACAGUAAAUCAUUGGUCUUUCCUCUUGCAGAUUUCUAGCUUGUUUUAUCCCCACUAUCAUACAUCAAGGUUUUAGAUUUUUAGCAGUGAAAUUAUCUUGCAUUCAAGAAGUAAACCAGCCAAACACAAGCAGCCGCACCUAUAAGUUGAGCUUCUAGUUCUUCCGGUAAUUUAUCAUUCAGCCCCAGAUAAGACGCUGUUGGAUUGAAUCAAAUGGGUAGGGGAAGAGGCAGAGGAAGGAAAAUGGUCAGCAAUCGCAGGAGCCAUGAAGACAAGGGGAGCAGUGGUGAAGAAGUUGUGCCUGCAAGGAAGAGGAGAGGAAGACCCCUGAAGCAGCGCAUUGCGGUCAAUGUCGAUCAAAGAGAAGUCAAGGAUUUGGUAGAGGGUGUUGAUGGCAACGCAGACUAUCAACAAGGAGGAAGAGAUGGUGAUUCAAAGCUCAAGGAAGAUGACUCUGUAGGAAAUGGUAAAAAGAGGAGCAAGGUGCCCAAAGAUGAGAGCGCAAAUCUUGACCUGGAACUGGAAGAGAACAGUUCAAGCACCCGAUCUAGCAACGAUGAGUCAACUAGGUCCAAUGGCUUCCGGCAGAACGGAAGCCGCCGGAAGAGCACGCCUCAGCGAGCGGCAGAGGCGGGUUUGUAGUUGGAAUGGAGCAAGCAACAGGUUCUUGGGUACUACUAUCAGUUAGGCAGCUGCUCUUCAAUUUUGUCAACUUUCUAUUUUAGUACUGUUAUGUUUUCUGGCAUCUUCAUGAUGAUUACUUGGCUCUAUAUGAAUGUAUAAACAUAGACUGAUUGCAAAAUCAUGGAAGUUUUGCAUAUGGUGAUGAAAAUAUGUGAGACAGUUAGCUCUUCUAGGUUGAAUUGUCAGUACUAAGUAUUAGGGGUAGUAGUGUUUUAUCAGUUGAUGAUGCUAGCCUAAGCUCUUGCAACUUCUGUCCAUCUUUUGCACCUUUUUGUUUCCUUUUUUCAUCACAGACACCCUAAGCUCUUGCAACUUCUGUCCAUCUUUUGCACCUUUUUGUUUGCUUUUUUCAUCUCAGCCAUAACCUGCUAGCUGGUGUUGGCAAGUAAUCCUAGUAGUGACUAAAUCAAAGAUACCAAGACUGUUGACCCCGUAUCUAUUCAGAAUUCACUCACUUUGUGAUAAGAAUCUAAGACACAUCCAACCAUCCGAAUUCAUUCGGUCCAGUGGUGAAAUAUGGAGAUGCUGGUUUUCUCUUGAUUUCUCUGUAUGGCAUACAUCCAGUGUGCUGUGUGCAGUGUGCUGGCUCAGGCUACUCUUGGAUGCAACAUCGUGUUUGAGAUUUAGAGCAGAGGUAAGUAAACUUUGAAGGUAAUUUCGCCAACUGCUGGUACAGUAUGGCGAAACCCUCUGGUGCAGGAAAAUUGCAACAUAUUGAUUCUUCACUGACGAUCUUGUCCAAGAAUGUGACAUUGCAUCACUGCGCGACGACGAUUUAUUAUAACAAGAAUUAUUGUCCCAUCUGAAUCAACUCAACACAGGCACACAGCCAACAGAAAUGAUUCAGACACCAUGAUAUUCUUCCCACCGAGCUGUGUGUGAUACUGCGAUGUCAUUUCUGCCCCACUCUACAACAAAGAAGAUGAGUGCUGCUGUUUGGGAUUUGGAUAGGUAUGGUUAUUAUACAUAAUCUGUAGAAGAAGGCUCUUGGGUGGUGCUGCGAUUGGGAGGUCGCACUUUCUGCCUCCCCUAGAUUGAUGAUUCCAGUGCCUGGGAAUGGCUGAUCAUGAAAGGAAUCGUAUCCCCUGUCGUGGCGCAUAAACGGCGACCAGAGGGAUGUGAUGUGAUGCCCUUUGUUGUUCGUUCCAUGCUGAAGAUUAUUAGAAUCACAUCAAACUUCGAGAAGGAAAAAAAUGAACUAUUUGGAUUUGCGAAAAUAAAGAUAAAUUCAUUACACGUACCGAGGCAGGCCUUACAAUAUAGAACCUUGGAUUCGAAAACAAUUGAGCUUCGCACACAGCGGCAACUUCUUGAGAAAUCCUCUCCGCUUUGUUGUUUUCCCUUUAGAAUUGAGAUGUUUCAUGUAUUCACGGUUUCUAGUGUUCUACCUCUCUGGGUAUGUUUGGCAAUUGGCAGUAUCCAAAUCUCCAUAUCCUAAACAUACCCUUGCUUUAGCACAUGAAUAGAUAACUACGGUUUAUCCACUCAGGCAUCCUCCCCAACGGUAAGCUAUCCUACACAUUGCAAUCCCAGAAGAUAACACCUGAGAGUACACCUGCUAAACGCUAGGGAGACGCAUCGAAAAGAUGUCGGGGGCGCACAUGGUUAAUCGUGUAUCAGCACAGAAAAAGACAAACGUAUGUGAUGACUGUUCUCUGGGUGGAAUCACUAGCACGGCUUGUAAAGCAGCUUGGGACAUAAUGAUUUCCGUUUUCAAACACCAAGUUGCCUCUCUGGAAAACUUCAGAAGAAGAAGAAAAGUUGGCUCUCCGCCUGAACCACACUAUAUAUAGAGGGAGCCCGGCCUUGUGGAGAGAUAGAUAAGAUAUAUAGAAACUGCAAGCACCGCAAUGUCUUUCGUGCUCAUGAUCUUGCUUUCCUUGACAGCGUUGCAGUUGCAGGUCGACACCACGCCAAGCGAGAUCAAGAGGAGUCAAUUCCCCCCGGAAUUCAUGUUCGGCACAGCCUCUUCGGCGUACCAGGUAAGUAAGUUGUAAAAGGAUCUGCAGACUGCUGCCAGAGAAUUAUUAGUACGUUUGCUAGAGUUUUGAUAUUUUCAAGUGCUUUGUGAUGAUAUAUAUGUCUGAUGCAGUAUGAAGGUGCCGUGAGGGAAGGUGGCAGAGGACCCAGCAUCUGGGACACCUUCACUCACAAUCACCCAGGUCCUUAAUUGGCUUUACUCAUGCACAAGAUUACACAGCAUUUUGUCUUUGCUGUGAACUGUCUUUCGGAAAUGUCAUGACAAACUGUUCUCAACAAGAAGGGCAUGCAAAGCUUAAGCUGGCUCAACUUUAACAAUGCGGACCUUCUAAAUUCCAACCCCUACUAAAUUUAGACAGCAAACUGGAAAAUGCUUUUGGCAUCCUGGCAAAACCUUUUGUUCAAACAAAAUUAAGUUUCACUAAUGGAUAGCUAUGGGAUGAGAAAUCCUCAAAAACCGUCACAAUUGCGAUGCACAUAAAAUGAAGAACUUGGUAGUCCCUUCUUUUCAGCUUCUUAUUAGAAAUUCUUCGCAAAAAAAAGCUACUUAUUAGAAAUAAUUAUGAAGACCGAACCAUGAGAUAACUUGAACCUGAUCAGGAAGGUUAGUCACUUAUCUUUUUUAAAUGAAACUAAGGCCAAGAAAGAGAAGUACUUAUUACUCAACUUCCAAACAAACAAGCAAAAAGAACCUGUCACUUAAUUUCAAAACGGACAAGUACGUCGAGAUAAUCCGAUGAUCGGCUACUAGCAUAAUACACACGUUUGCAAAAUCAGUCCACUUUCUUCAAGAAUGACCAGCCAAUUGAGUGUUUUCCCUUCUUUUUUUUUACAAGUUUUAGGUAUUAUUUCUUUUUCCCUAUUAAAUAGCUAUAAAAUGGUAAAUAAUUGUUUUACACAGAAAUUGAUGACUUUAAUUCACAUUAAUAAUAAUUAAUGCUAAACUGAAGGCCUAGCAAAAACAUCAACUCAAAAUAGUGGCCACGUUAUUGCAAAACUUGGUUUUGGCCUAAGCUUUGGAGGUUUAAACCCUUAGUUAAGAAAAUUCUUCCAAAAUAGUCCGUUUUGUGAAGUAUGUACCAAUUUAAAUUAUUUCAUUGACUUGGCCUAUUUAUGCCAAACUUAUAUACCCAUGAUAUGGCUCCAUGCCAAGAAAAGUAUUAUUUUUGACAAUUGUUAGGUAUUAGUUUCAUUUUCUUCGUAUUUUAAACACCUCUAGGAAAUGGCAAUUCAUUUAAUCAUUAUGAAUGUUAAAAAAAUCCUAGUAAAAAUACCGGACUCAAAAAUUACAAAAGUCAGUCUGGUGCUUCAAAUUAGGAAGUUUAAACCUUAUGUUAAGAAAAUUUAUUGGAGAUAGUCCAUUUUAUGAAGCAUGUAUCAUUUCAAAAUAGUGUAUUGACUUGUACUAUUUGUCUCGAGAUUAUAUACCCAUAGUAUGGCUCCAUGAUAAAAAGAGUUUUAUUUUUAAAAAAAAUUGGUAUUAUUUCAUUUUUACCUAUUAGACAUCCCGUGGCUGCGCCGUGAGGCGUUCCUUGCCCUGUUGGCCAGCUUUGCUUGGUCCGAUGGGGCGAUUCGCUUUCUAUUUUGCUUUGGCCUUCUUUCCCUUGUUUUGACCUUGGUCUCUUGUACCUGGUUUCUAUUUCUUAAUAUUUCAUGACAGAGCUUCUGCCUUUCUCGAGAAAAAAAUGGCAACAAACAAUCAACCUGUCGGUUUUAGCUUACAGUUAAAGUAGUGUCCAUAACUUGGACAUAAAAAUCAGAUAGUAGCUACUCCUUCAGAUUCAUAAAAAUUUCUGAGUGUAGUACAAAAUUGUACUAACCUUGUACUAAAUUCUAGACACUUAUUAUGAAUCGGAGGAAGUAGUAUUUACUUUUUCAUAACUAUAUACAGAGUACUUGGUAACUAUGCAUGAAAGAAGUGCUUACAGUAUCUCGAUGUCAAGUUAUUCAUAUUCAAAGUUUCAGACAAUCUAUAAUGAUUUGUAACUUGAGUUCAAUUGAUAUCUAUAUGCAGAUAAAAUAGCAAACGGAAGUACUGGAGAUGUAGCAAUAGAUUCGUACCACCGGUACAAGGUAAUGCUUAUACUGCUAUGCUAACUAGUGACCACUGACCACCCACCUAUGCUCAAAUUCAUCUCAGUUCCUAAUAUUAUCAGAUGCCAUUCACCAAUGCAGGACGAUGUCAGUAUCAUGAAGGAUUUGGGGUUUGAUGCCUACAGAUUUUCUCUUUCUUGGUCAAGAAUUCUGCCUAGUAAGUGGUACCUCUAGCCUUUUUCUAAAAACAAUUCUCAUGCAUACAUGGUUUAUAUACUCACCUAAUGGUAAAAGAAUCUUAAAUAGGCCUCAGAUGUGCUGCGUGCACCUAGUCCAUCACCUUUUAACAUAGCCCUGCCAGCCACUUGGCAUUACAACUAUGGCAAGACUAACAAACCUUUUCCAUUGAUAUGCGCCUGAAAACUGACACUUAUACCUGAGAAUCAAUCUACAUUAACAAUAAAUAUUGAUCACAAGCCACACUGGCUCAUGCAAUGAUAGCAUGUAUACAGGUGGGAAACCAAGCGGGGGGGUCAACAUAGAAGGAAUCAAAUACUACAACAAUCUCAUUGACAAGCUCAUUUCGAAAGGUGAAGGUUACAUAUACUAAUAAUGUCAAGAUAACAGAUGAUUUCUGAUACUCCCUCCAUCCCAUAUUAAGUGACUCAAAUUUGUCCAAAUAUGAAUGUAUCUAUAUCUAAAAAGCGUCUACACACAUGUAAUAAAAAGUCACUUAAUAUGGGACGGAGAGAGUAUUAAUAUAUGUUUGCAUCCUAAUGUCUCUAACUAACAAUGCAGGUAUUGAACCCUUUGUGACCCUUUUUCACUGGGACUCCCCACAGGUAUUAGAACAGCAGUAUGGUGGCUUCUUAAGCCACCUCAUCGUGUAAGUAAACAUGGGCAUGGGCUAUCAGCUCAUAACUUUUUCCACGUGGACCCAAACUCACUAUUCUGAUCAAUUGUUUUCAACCAAAACAAAGAAGCGAACCUUAACAAGUUAUGCCAACAUUAUCAGGGAAGAUUUCCACGACUAUGCCAACAUCUGCUUCAGGGAGUUUGGUGACAGGGUAAAGUACUGGAUAACACUGAAUGAGCCUUGGAGUUUCAGUGUUGGUGGCUAUUCUAGUGGAAUAUUAGCACCAGGCAGAUGUUCAUCUAGGCAAAAGUCAGGUUGUAGCAUGGGAGACUCAGGAAAGGAACCUUAUAUUGUAGCUCACAAUCAACUUCUAGCACAUGCAUCAGCAGUUCAAGUUUACAGAGACAAAUACCAGGUAUGCCUUAGAUUUCUUCGAUGUGAUUAUUUUCAGUAAUAAAACAGAGGCGGAUUAUUAUGAUAUAUAGAAUAAAAUGCAUUCUAGCAUGUACGGAGUACAUAGUAUAUACAGUAUUGACAUAAUCUUAAACUCGUGGCCAUCGAAGAUUAUAAGAACUUGCAUAUAUGAGGUUUCUCAGAGCAAAAUGAAGAGAAGCAGAGUUAUCACCUACACAACUAUUUUUAGAAACAAGAACCAGCAGCUUCCCCUGCUUAAAUGGGGAAAUAUAUCACCGCCACAGAUCUUUUAGUUAAAUAUUGACAGUACAAACUGCAACUGGCACAAAAGAAAAUGUAUCCAAGACUAAAGACAACCAUGGAUAACAGAGGUAUUUAGACAUGGUAUCUACUAAUGGGAAGGAAUGUUUAGUCAGCUUUCGCUACUAAAAAACCCUAUAUUUUGCCUAUGUUGUUGUACUGUGAUAAUCAUUAAUCAUGCAGAUGGAACAAAAAGGAAAGAUAGGCAUUACUAUAGUUAGCAAUUGGAUAACUCCCUACUCAAAUUCCAAGGAAGACAAUGAUGCUACCAAACGUGCAAUGGACUUCAUGUAUGGAUGGUGAGUUUUCAACAAAUCCAAUAUGUGAUAGGCUUCAGGUUUUCCAGCCACUAAGAUUAGAAAAUUAUUGUCUUUUAUUUGCAUAGCUCAGUAAAAAUUGAACAGGUUCAUGGAUCCCUUAACCAAGGGAGACUAUCCGCUCAGCAUGAAAACGCUGGUUGGUAGCAGAUUACCAAAAUUCACAAAAGAGCAGGCAAGAGCUUUAAAUGGAUCAUUCGAUUUCAUUGGCCUCAAUUACUAUUCAGCAAGAUAUGCUCAGAAUACUAAACACAAUUGCAAGAUUAACAAAAGCUACAGUACUGAUUCGCGAGCUAAUCAAAGAGGUAAUUAUGUAGGCUAUCUUAUCUCAGUUAUACAUUCGAAUACAUUGGGUGCACUGAUAGUUUUCUCUGCAUGAACAACAGUGGAAAGAAAUGGAACAUAUAUUGGCCCAAAGGUAUGACCUGCUCACAGGGAGAUAAUAUUUUCCCGUGUUUGGAUAGUUGUAACCCGGUAAAUUAAAAAGGACCCAUUUACAACUAGGUCAGCAUGAAAACGAUUCUAAAAGCAAGCAAAUAGAGGAAAUGAUACAUAUUUGUCUACAGGCUGGUUCUUCUUGGCUCUACAUUUAUCCAAAAGGAAUAGAAGAACUAUUGCUAUACACCAAGGAGACAUACAACAACCCUACUAUCUACAUCACAGAGAACGGUAGAACAGCCUUACUGCAAAGAAUGACAACUUGCUCCACUGCUUACAUAAUAAACACUCAUAUUGCAGGUGUUGAUGAAAUUAACAAUGAAAACUUACCUCUUCAAGAAGCCUUAGCUGACAAUACAAGAAUAGAAUUCUACCGGCAACACAUAUUCCAUGUUCUAAGAGCCCUAAGGUAAGUUUGAUGCUCUGCUUGUAGAUAACUAGAUCACAAUGAUUUGACUUGAUUUAUGACAAAAAUGAUUAAGUUUCGCCUGUAAUAUGUCAGGGAAGGAGUCGAUGUGCGAGGAUAUUUUGCAUGGUCAUUAUUUGAUAACUUCGAGUGGAUGGAUGGCUAUAGUGUUCGAUUCGGUCUUAACUACGUCAACUAUAAGGAUGGUCUCAAAAGAUAUCCAAAGCGAUCAAGCCAAUGGUUUCAGAAGUUUCUUCAUCAAUAAAAUCUGUACUGUACGAGUCUAAAGUUUUUAAAAUGUCAGCAUAAUGGAUCGAUUCUGUUGUGAUAGCCAACACUCAGCAGUUUAAGCAGUUCUCUUGUAUCCAUGAUGGCAUAAAAAAAGACUUGCUUGCUAUUGUAUCCAUUAUACAUGCAAGUGUGUGUAAAGUAACACCGAAGUAAUGCAUAACAGAUGCAGCCCAUGUGCUUGCUCACCAAUUUGGAAACUAGUUCAAAUGAAAAGAUGAAAUUUAGCCCGUCGUAAGUAAGGAAUAGAUAUUCCAUUCAGGCAUUCACUAUGGUAAAUAGCAGCGCAACAAAUCAAGACUGUUCAGACCAUUCAGACCAAGGUUCUGUAAAUCAUCCAAGCAUUAUCAUUGGCAAGUUAGGCUAUAUAAAUACUUAGCCAAGGUCUUCGAGUCGCCAAGUCAAGUCAAGGCUAGGGGAGCAGGUACACUAGUCUGGACUAGUCGACCCAAGUCAACUUGACUAGUAUGAAAAUUUAUAGCGUUUAGUGCAUCAGACCUAGGUGUUUAGGAGUGACUGUACCUUGUACUCUGAAGAACAACAUGAGACAGAGAGACAGAGAUGAGCAGUUGAGCACUGACUACUAGUAGAGGUACAAGAUACAUCAGAGACAGCAGAGCAGCACUGGACAGAGAGACAGAAAUUGAGAAAUUGAGCAUUUGCAAAAGGGAACAGAGGAGAGAGCAUCAAGCAUGACAGCACUAGAUUUCAGAACAGAGCAAAGAACACUGGAGCAGCACUCAAUUUCAGAAUAGAGCAGCACCAGGCGAUGAUCAGCACACCGCUGCAUGAGAAAUUGAGAAGUUGAGAAGAGAGGAGGGAGACCUGGUGCCAGUGGCACUUGGUGGGAGCGUCGGCAAGUGAAGGCGCUAGCCAGGGGCGGCGGCGGUGGCAGCACCAUUGCUCACCAGGUCUUCCUGCCACUUCCCCGCCCUUUCCCUCCUCUUCUUUGGUGAUCCCGCCCGACUCUCUCUCCCGGGCGAGCUAUAUAGGCCCCGAAUUUUUCCUGACAUGUGGGGCUCUGCGUGGAUCAAAUCGGGCAGCUCACGACUUCUAGUCUCUGACUAGUCGGAGCAUGUCUCUGGCGAGUCGGUAUGAGUCAAGUGACCACCGGAGCAAGUCUCACCUGCUGUACAGACUUGGAGACUAGUCACUAGUCGGCGACUCAAAAACCAUGACGUUAGCUGAAAUGAAAGCCAUCGUUUUCUUCUGCUGUCAUCUGGAUUCAGCACUAUACUCGUUUUGUGUUUCGAGUGGCUUAUAUCACCAAUUUGGAAACUUGUUCAAAUGAGAAGAUGACCUUUUGCCAUCCUAAGCAAGCAAUAGAUGUUCCAUUCACUCAGGUAAAUAGCAGCGUAACAAAUAACAACAGUUCAUACGUCGUACCUUGAAAUGAAGGUUUUAAAAAUCUUCCAAGCCUUAGCAUUGGCCAGCCAGGCAUUGUAAAUAUUAAAAGUCACUUGUUUUGUGUUUUCGAGUGGCCAAUAUUGUAGAAGAGAUUCAUAUUUCAUAAGAUUAAGUCCAACAUUCCACGUGAAAUUAAAUCCAUAUGCUGAGUUGAAGAACAUUUGUUGCAGCAAAAAAUAAGGCAAGAACAAGGACCAUAAGUUGGGAAAAGUAGAUACCAUAAGAUAAUAAACUUGCUCUAGAUUUUGAUUCCGGAACAGAAGGUACAAUCAUACAGCUAAUUGACUAACACUGGAACUGAGUAAAGUAUUGAUCUCUCCAAUUAUGUGCACAGGCCUGCUAUCAAACAUAGAUGACAGUGUUGCCUCGCAGAGCUUCUUUAGUUCCCUUGUCUUUGUAAUCGCUGCCUCCUGUAACAUUAGAAAGGAAAGUCAUUAACAAACACUUACUGGCUAGAAAUCACAAGGAAAUCACACAAUUUCUGCACAGUAUAGAAGGGAAGUAAUAGCAUUUUGGUUUAUUAGCACAUGUUGGACAAAAAUCUAGCUGUUCAGAAAAUUAAGAAUAAUGCAUUGUUCAUAGAAUUACGAUUUAGAUAUCAGAUUUUUUUUUUAUAAAAGAUCAUAAACCACGUAACUGACGCAGACCAAUUGUCCAUUGAGGACAACAUGCAUGCCAUCAAACACUAUGUUAAAAAACAUAUAACUUACUUGCUUUGGCCAGGAGGAUGACAGUGCGUUUUGCAGCUCCAUGCGCUUAACUGAUAAAUCACCUAAGCCUUCUCGCAGUUUCACCUCAUGAUGCUUCUUUUCUUCUAAGGUUGACACCAAUCUGUCCAAAAACCUAGGGAAGAGCAAGCAACGUUCAGGUAAAGAUCUAUAAAAAUAAACAUGCAUUUGUGAGGGAAACUGCUGCAUUGUGUAAGUCUUCCAUAAGAUGCUAUGAGGAAUAAUAAGUGCACAAGUGUAGCAACCAAUGGCAGACACAAGUCAUAUAGAAUAAGCAAGUGUGACUUACCUUUUAGAGUUGAGGAUCAUUAUAAGGUCAAGAGUUUUCUGGUUAGUGAGCAAAGAGAUCGCUGAAGAGACCUCUAAAAGCAUAGUUUCCAAACUGUCAGGAGCAUACUGUUGAAGAGCAAAGGGCGAGACAGCUUGCACCUGAUGCUGUAGAGAUGAUGUAUCAGCAUUCCUAAUCUCCACUAAGCGUAGGGUCAAGAAUGAUUUUACCUGUUUCAAAUAUAAGAGAUUAAUGAACUAUCCUCACAAAAAAAAAAGCCAUGCUAUUAGUUAUUUCCGCUUAUGACUAAAAAGGCACAUGUUGACAAAGCAUACAGGUAAAAUGGUAACACUAAUACGAGAAAUUCAAUAACAAAAUGAUAGAAAUAGUGUUGCUAUUUUAAGGGCAGGAAGGGGCAUUCAAAAUGCCAAAAUACCUCAAGUAAAUCAUCCAGAAGAUUAUUUCUGUAUUCCUUCUCCAGCAACUGGCUUCUUUCUUCAGUUAAACUUUCAUAUUGUCCUGGUUCAGUUGGAGCAUUCUGGGUAAUAGCAUUUUCUUCAGGAUUAUCAGCAGAGAUGUCCCAGCAAAUCAGAUCCUCAGAUGUAUCGCAUGUAAGGUUUUCAUUGUCAGCAGAAGGAUUGACUGAAAUACCAACAUCAUAAUUUUCGGAACCUGCCAACUCUGUACUGGCAUCAAUAAUUUCAUAUGAUCCAAAACCGUCACCAGAUACUUCUACAGGUUGUUCCACAGCACCGAUAUCCCAAUCAAUUCCAUUAUUAUCCACUGAAAUGUCCCAAUCAAUAUCGUCUGCGGGAACAUUAGAGGCAUUGUGCUCUCCUCCAUCCAUAUUAGACCCAUGAGCUUUUGAUGUAUCUCCAAGGGAAUUCUGCACCUCCGUGCAUACUGAGACAUGCAGGGAAGGAGGAUUAGCCUGCAACUGCUUUAGAUUGUGUACCACAGAUUUGCAGUUUUCCUAAAUUAAGACGAACACAGUUAAGUUCACACGAGUUGUAGGGCAAUAUCUACAUUCAGCAUCUGGUAUGUUCAACAUAGUCGGUACUGUACCUUAUCCUCUGUAUGGCAGUCCAUAACAAAAGUUGUGUAGUACUCAAUGGCUUGUGAGACAGGAUCACUGUUCAGAACUCCCAAGAUUUUGGUAAAUGUUGAUGGAAGGGUUUUUGCAGACUGUACGAGUUCUUCCCGCACAUCUAUUCCCUACCGAUGGAAGUUAAAAGUAUGCAAACACCAAUACAACACAGUAAGUGGCAUAAUCAACAACAUAAAACCAAAAAGGUGACACUCGGAUAGAGAAGCUAACCUGCAAACCGAGCUCCUGGCAAGCUUCUGCAUACCUAGUUGCUGACAGAGCAGCAAGCCGCUUAAUGUCAGCCUCCCUUCGGUCUAGUUCCGCAAGCUGCUGCUGAGUCUUCUGCAUCUGCUUCCUCUGAUAUGGUCUUGAGGUGGGCAAAGAACAAUUAAAACUAUACAUGCAGAUGCUAGGCCAAGCACAAAUAUUACAAAACGAGAGAUCGAGGAAAGACUCUGUACAUGUCAUAGUUCACAUUCUGGACCAUGAUCUGAGCGGCCUCUCCAAGGAAAACAUGGUCCUUCUCAUAAGCUUUAACAAUUGAUUCCCAUUCUCCCUAAAUAUAGCAUUUGCAUCGAAACAUAUGUCAAUUCCGUUAGUCAACUGUUAAUUUAUCUCAACAAAAGAAUAGCAAACAAUACCGCGGAGCCUGUCAAGCGACCAAAUAUGUUCCUACUCUCCGUGUUGGAUUCCAGGAGUAUGCUGUAUAUCUUCUUCGCUUCAAGAUACCCAAUUUCUACUCCGCGAAAGGAGAACACAGGUAUACAAUUAAAUUUCACAGGAACAGAAAUUAGUGGAUUGCGGAAGUGAUUGGGCGAGGGUUUUAGCAUGCGGAUUCCGCCAUAGCUGCUGCGCAACCCAGCUAAGCCUGAGAGGAAGAGUUACCUUCAAGUUCGAGGGUGACGAGAUAAGGGUGGAGAUCCCGCGGGAGGGACGCGAAGGCGGCGGCCAGGCGGGCGCGGAUGGCGGCGAGGCGCUUCCUCCAGUCUUGAGGCACCCGCUUGCGGUCGACCAGCCACUCCUGGAGGCGGGCAAAGGCGAUGUCGAUGGGGAGGCUGCGGAUCUCCGACGGAUCGCGCAUGUCGGCCACGGAGUCGGGGGAUCGACGACGGGAAGGGGGAGGAACGCCGGCCGGAAUUGGUCGCGAAGAUGGGGACGGGAAGUCUGGUUGAAGACUUGGGUUUUUCUUUAGCGAAAUGCAGAUUUGGGUAUGUGUUCUUCUUUUUACCUGGGCCAGAUUGGUAGCCUUGAGCCCAGCCCAGACAUCUCCGGUAACGAAGGGGGCUGUUUCUAGGCCGAGCAGAGGUACAAAGCCCACAUGAGAACGAGAGUUCGGAUUGCGUAAAUUGCACGAGUGUGUGGGCCCUAUCUCAUUGUCUUGUUAGAACUUCAAGAGAGCGUGGGGGUGCGUUUGGCUUUGCUUCCAAAACGCACCAUACCCUCAAGAAAAAAAAACACCAUACUAACUUUUUGGUCAUUAAUAAAAAAUUGAUAAUUGUUUGUAUAAUUACCAACUAAUAUUUGACAAGUCAAUGUAUUAUAGCCAACUCGAGUUCAAUUUUUUGGUCAAAGUUGGUUAACUCGUGGGAUGGCAAAAGCAUAACCAAUGAUUUGGUUAGCCAUUUUUUUUUUGUAAGAAUAGGUUGGGUUCAAUCCAAACAUACCCUAAGCCUUUAUAGUGUUCAAAAAAAAUCAUUCAAGAUAGGAAGACGCGUCAACAGAAUCUCUUCGUCGCCAUGACUGCAAAAGUGCAUGCUCAACCACCUCAUAUCGAGGUUGUCAUCAAUGCUUGAAAGGAUUUCCAUGGUGAGCUCAUUUCUACGUGCACAAUUGGGUGAAAAGAGCUCGUGCCGCAUUGUGCACCAUCAAGAAAAAAUUGGUGACAGACCGUUCUGGUUGAGAACGUGGUGGCACCUUCCACCUUGUGGAUGCAAUCAUUUGCUAAGCUUGUCAUACUUAAUGUUUACCCUCUCUUAGAGUUGGAGCGGUUUCGAGACAAGCUCAAUGAGCUCCCUUCCGCUGGGCUCUUCCCCUUUUUCCUAUCAAAUAGUGUUCAUCUUCUCCUGAAAUCCGACGAAAUUUAAAAAAAAUUAUUGGGGUAAAAGAGCUCUUACGUCUAAUACAAACGAUACAACAUUAACACUUUGAAUCCUGACAUCCCAAAUCAACGAAAAUCACCAAAAACAUCCAUCUCAUCUAUCUUCAAAAUGCAGGAGGAAUACUCGCGGAUCAGACGAAAUACACAAAAGAAUCGAGAGAGAAACUUACUGAGGAUAAGAUUCCCCAAAUACUCGCAGAUCAGACGAAAUACACAAAAGAAUCGAGAGAGAAACUUACUGAGGAUAAGAUUCCCCAACUCAAAUGAAUGAAAUCGGUGAAGAAUCGGAGGUUUAGGAGGGUCAGGGUUUGGAGUUUGAGAGAGAGAAGAGAAAGUUGUGCGGGGUACUGGUUUUUUUGAGCUUUUGCCCCACCGUCGGACCAUUUUUGGCGAAUAUUUCAUGCGGUACGAUCGAGGGUACGAAGCGCGCUCGUACCACGUGUUGUUGUGUGAGGAAACUGGACAUUAGGGUUUUAGCAUACCUAGUACGAGCAUGGGUACGAGCGGGAGCCCUUGUACCGUGCCUCGUUAACUCUUCUUGCCAUUUUGGACGAUUCUACGAGGCUUGGUACAACCAAAGGAGCUCAUACCCCACAUUAAAAAAGAAUCACGACCAUACCCCAUUUUUUUAGGCAAGACAGUAGAUCAAUGAUCUACUCUACUGCAAAUAUAUUAAUAAAAGGUUUGUAGUUACAAAGCUAAUAACCAAAAAUUAUCGGUCAAUCCUAUCUAAAAUUGUUAAUCUAGUUACCAAACUGGUGAUACUCCUGUCUUCUAGAACGAUGGAAGCCAAGACUGAGCUCUUCUUUGAAGAUUUGUCUACAUCUAAAAAGAGAAGGCCUGAUGUUAUUGAAGACAUAGUCAUUGCAAACUUUCCAAAUACUCUAGCAAACCAGGGAAGUAAUCUCCAUAUAGAAUGGCAAACCAUACCCCAUUUCGAGUGAGAAAUCUUUAUCCCUCGUCAAGGUGAUAUGUUGUUCGAGAUAAUUGAAUAAGAAUGAGUUAAUUGUUUCAUGUUAACUGCUUUCUUCAUUAUGUCAACAUCAUAUGCCUUCUUACUCCUUGCAGAUGUUAUGCCCAAACUUUUGUGGAUUUACAUCUUACAUAAGGAUUUUCUUUCAUUCCGCAAAAUAUAUGACUAGGUUUUCCGGGCAAGCAAAUAAGCUUGGUGUAUGUGAUAUUUUGAUUUGCUAAAAUUGCACUGAAGACCAUUUGAGCAAUUGUUUGCAUUUUUGGGUUUGUAAUCUUCAUGUGUACUUAUAUAAGCUUAGUGACCAUGAAAUUUAACAACCAUCUACCGCUGAAGAAAGCACUGUGAAUGUUUUACGUACAGAUGUCAAGACGUCCAAGAUUUGGAUGAUAAUUUUGAUGUUUGCCAUGACUCAAAUAUCUACUUUCUUCGUUCCAUAAUUCUUGUUAAAAUCUUACAUGUAUUUAGACACUUUUUAGAAAUACAUACAUCUAAUUUUAAUCAAAAUUGAGACAGGAACUGUGAAACGGAGGGAGUAGAUUACAAAUGGCUUCACCAUCGUCAUGAAAACAUUACUGGAGUAUUAACCAAUUCGUUUAAGUUAUUUAGAUGACCUGCAUAUUUGUUGCGCGCAGCACCACCCAAACGUACAAGCCCGAGUCCGUGACGUGUCUUGCGCGGGGAGAUUCCCUCGGCAGGGAUCUCCUGGUGUCCACAAAACCCAGCGGAACAACCAAAAGAUUCUUCCGCUUCUUCGUCCUCCCCCUCCCCAGUGGGCUCCGGCAGCUUAAUAUCUCGCGCGCUCGCGAGAACCCGAGGCCCGAGCACCCGACCCCAUUGUCACAUUCCGUGAUUGCUUUUGCGUCCAUGGAAAUGGUAGAGUGCUCACUAGCUGCCGCCCGCGGCCCCCGCGGCCCCCGCGCCCUGCUCGGCCGUGUCCCCAGGCCCUCGCCGGCGGUUCUUGGCGCCGGGAGAACCAAGCUCCGGGUGCGGUCGGAGAGGCGGGGGCAGCCUCCGCCGGUUGUCAGGGCCUCCCCGCCGCCGGAGCACGACGGCAGGGCGCUAGGGAAGGCGGCGGUGGGGCUCGCCGCAGCAGCCGUGGUGUCGCUGAACGGGCUCGCGGGGGACUUCUCCCCGCCGCCGGCCCUGGCCGAGUCGCUCACCGUCGCGUUCCCCGUCUCCAAGGCCCGAGAGGUGGGUCUCCAUGGUCCUACUGCAGGCAGACACCACCUUCUUCCAAGAAAGGCAGGGUUCGGGGUGAAUUUGUUGAUUGUGUUCUUGGCAGGUAAACCGGGUGCAGAGGACGCUGGUGGAGGCAUGGGGGCUGAUCCGUGAGACCUUUGUCGAUCCCACCUUCAACCACCAAGGUACAUACCCGAUUACAUGCACCUGGUCUGGGAUCUGUUUUGAAUUAAAAAAUUAUAAGGAUAGAAGUGGUGCAAGUUUGGUAUGGACUAGUAUUUCAUUUUUUUUCGAAAAUGAGGGAAACCCCCCGGCCUCAUGCACAUAGCCCUGUGGAGUAGUAUUUCAUGCUGCUUAUAGGGUCCGUUGGAGGGAUAGGGCUGUACCAGCUCAAAUUGUCUCUCGGCAACCGUAAACCAGUUUUUGGGAUGAUGUAGUAUGUGAUUCUGCUUGGUGUGCAGACUGGGACCAGAAACUUCAGCAGACUAUGGUGGAGAUGUUCCCACUGAAAUCCGCAGAUGCUGCCUAUGGCAAGAUCAGUGGGAUGGUGUCCACUCUAGGCGAUCCGUUCACAAAGAUCAUCAGCCCCAAGGUACGUAUGAAUGAGCAACGGACCAUCGCACAGUAAUGAUGUGCACUGUCUGGCUUCAGGCUUGUUCUCCCACAUUGUGUGAUUUAUGAAAAGGCUAAUGUAUGGUUGGUGAGAUGCAGGAAUAUCAGAGUUUCAGGAUCGGAAGUGAUGGGAACUUGCAAGGGGUUGGCAUAUUCAUAAAUAAGGAACCUGGCUCUGGACGCUUGGUAAGUUCAGUUUUCCCUGUAAGAAGACACCAUAUGAGUGUUACAAUUUCUACCUGCAAAAUUUGGUGCAGCUUGUUAUGAACUGCAUUGAGGGAGGCCCAGCUGAUCGAGCAGGCAUACGUGAAGGCGAUGAGCUAGUUGAUAUCGAUGGUAUUUUACUUCCUGUAUCAAUAGUCGAUUUUAGUAGAAAGCAUAAUCCAUACCUUACUUUUGUACUUUUGAAAAGCUUUACUUGUAAAUUCAUUUUAAUACGAUUCAUGCUUUUGGUGCUGCUGUUUUUAUUGUAUGCCCAUCUCAACGAAUAACCUUUGAGACUAAAUAAAAAACUAUUUGAUGGACACUGACAUCUGAGAAGGGUAAGAAAAUAACAAUGUUCCUUGGUAGCAAGCGAUAAAGUUAAGGAUGAUGGGAGGUUAGUCAAUCAUACCUAACCUACUAGUAGAUCUUUUUGGUUGACCUUUUUAUUGGCCUACAAUUCUUGAAACUAAAGAAAAGUUGGUUGGAGCAUGGAUUCUAUGCCGUGGACAAAUAAUACGCGAGCCACAGACAUGUGCCUCUGAAUAUUUAUCGAAGAAGGAUAUCUUUGCACAACUGGACUUGUACCUUGUGCAAUUUUAACCUUCUUAUGCCGCCACAAUUGAGAACUGGUUGAGACUGAUGGUGUUACAUAAUAUUAUCUUCUUGAAUUCCUUUUUCCAGCAUUGAGAAACCAGGUUUUCUAGAUUUUCAAGAACUAGUUGCCAUGACCAAGAGGUUUAUAACUGACUACUCAUCCUACAUUAGUAGCAUCAUGAUGCACAGAUUGAUAACCAAAACAUGUUUACACAUGUUUACAUACCUUUCAUCUCUUGUAUUAGAAGAUUUCCAAAGUGGCGCAGGAGCUACGCAACCACCAUGGUGGCACCGACCAAAACUCAUAUGCUCCAAUAAAAGGCUGGAAAAGGCAUGCUUAUUUGUUGAUGUCACUGAUCAGCUCUUGCCGUCUAGAGUCUAGACGGUGUUUUGUCAAUGCUCUUGGCCUCCCAUUUGUUUCCCUUUUUGGUCCGCCCUUUUUUUUCAUGGUUGCAUUGUAAGGUCACAACCUAUGUAUCCAGACCAAUGACCUCCUGAAAGGGACGUUGGGAGCCUGGUCUUGCAACACUUUUAAGCAACAUAUUCUGGU